UUACCUUUCCAGCCCAGUAACUUUUAGGAAGCAUUACACUGUGGCAGUCUACUACAGUAGAGUAAAAUACCAUUUAUUAGCACCUCCAAGCCAGGACCUAGAGCCCUGCCAUUACAUAUAUACUUGAACUAUUUCAAGCAUAAAGUCAGUAAACACUAAUCCCUGUUAAUAGUUUAUAGCAUACCAAGAAUUUAAUUAAUCUUUAAAACUACCCUUGUAUAAUUAACCGUUUCAACAGCAGUUGCCCAAGUAUGAAACCACUGUUUUACUUUCAGAUUUCUUUUCCAUAAUCCAGUUUUUAGUCUUCAAUCAGAAUGGACAUACAGAUUUAUAGGUGGUCUUUAAUGCUCUGAUAGGAGUAUUUGAAACAUGAAUUAUAUUCUUUGAACUGUUUUGUACUGAUGGGAUGGGUUAACAUUUUUAUGACGAGAAUAAGCAAAAAUGAAAAAUUUCAAGUGCUGUUUUUUAUUAUUGUGCUUAAACUUUAAAAUGUGAUUCUCUUAAAUACCAACCCUGGUUUCAUUCAACAAAUAAACCAUGAUUUUUAGUCCCAAUUUAAAUUCUUCACCACUCAUGUUAUUGCCAUUGAUUUGGGUCUUUUGCAGGCAGGCUUUUUCUAAGAAAAUACUGAAACUUGCUCCAUUUUGUUUUGACUUGUAUCUAAAAACCAUAAUCUAAUUUUGGAUUUCAUGUAAUAGAACUGUGUAUUUUGUGCACUUUGUGUACUGUUACACCCUCAUCUAGUAGUAACCUAAUGCUAUCAUGGUGCCAAGGAAUUGUGAUUGUUAAUUCUCAUAUUCACACUUCUCUAAAAUGUGAAUUUUAUAUGACAAAUAAAACACCUGAAAAAUU
rnacentral:lncRNA from 1 species